rnacentral:rRNA from 1 species
UGGGGAAUCUUGCACAAUGGGCGCAAGCCUGAUCCAGCCAUGCCGCGUGGAUGAUGAAGGCCUUAGGGUUGUAAAAUCCUUUCGUGGGGGACGAUAAUGACGGUACCCCAAGAAGAAGCUCCGGCUAACUUCGUGCCAGCAGCCGCGGUAAUACGAAGGGGGCUAGCGUUGUUCGGAUUUACUGGGCGUAAAGCGCGUGUAGGCGGGUCGUUAAGUUGGGGGUGAAAUCCCGAGGCUCAACCUCGGAACUGCCUUCAAAACUGGCGACCUGGACUCAAGUAGAGGCAAGUGGAAUUGCGAGUGUAGAGGUGAAAUUCGUAGAUAUUAGGAAGAACACCAGUGGCGAAGGCGGCCAACUGGCUCGAUACUGACGCUGAGGUGCGAAAGCGUGGGGAGCAAACAGGAUUAGAUACCCCCGUAGUCCCUGAGCGGGCUGGCAAGGCGCAU